UGGCGUUAGUAAAUCAAUUACAAAAAUUUUCGAGAUCAAUUCUCGGUAUUGCAUCAAAUUAUUCAAAAUAUACAAGCAACACAACGUUGCCCUUUUUGCAGGCAACAAGAGGAAUAUCGACCACGCAACCACUUUCAGAAAAACAAGAGAGUAUAACAUCUAGAAAAAUAACAUAGUAUUAAUAGAAUAGUAUUAAUAAGAACAACAUUGACAGUGAACAACUAAAAAUAUAACACUGUUAUAAAUAUAUGAUAUACGAAUUUUAUUUAUGUAUUAUUAAGACAAGUAUAUCUUAUUUUUAAAUUAUUUCUAUUAUCAUAAGUGAUACAUAUAAUUAAGAGUAAAUAUAACGUUUGUUAAAGCAAGUGGAGAGAGAAUCAAAGCAAAAGGGAAAGUAGGAGAUACUAUAUUAGACAUAGUAGUAAAUAAUGAAAUUGAUUUAGGUGGAUAUGGUCACGGCUAGGCUGUCAAAUAGUAAUGUCUAAGGAACUAGAUGGAAUUGAGGUAAGAGUUCCAUCAACAAUUAAUGAUGCAAGAGCAUAACUGAAAUUAUCUAUAGGUUUUUGAAAAUUUGUAUACAAUGUUAUACAUCUCUUGUUAAAAAACCCUUGUUAUAAUUAUUAAAAUAUUGGUAUUAAAAAAAUAUAAUAAAGAAUCUUGUGUUUAAAUGUGAAGCUUAUAUAUAUACAUAUGUUAUAGUAUAAUUGCAAUUUUGAUAUUUGUACAUUGCCAUUGUAAAAAGCCUAUCCAAUUAUGAAGAAAAUAUAUCUUUUAUUUUUAAUAUA